rnacentral:rRNA from 1 species
ACACUCCUACGGGAGGCAGCAGUGGGGAAUUUUGGACAAUGGGCGAAAGCCUGAUCCAGCAAUGCCGCGUGAGUGAAGAAGGCCUUCGGGUUGUAAAGCUCUUUUGUCAGGGAAGAAACGGUGAAAGCUAAUAUCUUUUGCUAAUGACGGUACCUGAAGAAUAAGCACCGGCUAACUACGUGCCAGCAGCCGCGGUAAUACGUAGGGUGCAAGCGUUAAUCGGAAUUACUGGGCGUAAAGCGUGCGCAGGCGGUUUUGUAAGUCUGAUGUGAAAUCCCCGGGCUCAACCUGGGAAUUGCAUUGGAGACUGGAAGGCUAGAAUCUGGCAGAGGGGGGUAGAAUUCCACGUGUAGCAGUGAAAUGCGUAGAUAUGUGGAGGAACACCGAUGGCGAAGGCAGCCCCCUGGGUCAAGAUUGACGCUCAUGCACGAAAGCGUGGGGAGCAAACAGGAUUAGAUACCCUAGUAGUCCCA